rnacentral:rRNA from 1 species
AUGAACGUUGGCGGCGUGGAUUAGGCAUGCAAGUCGAGCGUGAUAGAUCCGGUGCUUGCAUUGGAUCUUGAAAGCGGCGAAAGGGAGAGUAACGCGUAGGGUACCUGCCCCCAGGCCUGGGAUAGCGGUGGGAAACCGCCGGUAAUACCGGAUAAUGUCCCUGGACCAAAGGUGUGAUUCCGCCUGGGGAUGGUCCUGCGUCCUAUUAGCUAGUUGGCGGGGUAAUGGCCCACCAAGGCGAAGAUGGGUAGCGGGCGUGCGAGCGUGGCCCGUCUCCCUGGGACUGAGACACUGCCCAGACCCCUACGGGUGGCUGCAGUCGAGAAUCUUCCGCAAUGGGCGCAAGCCUGACGGAGCGACGCCGCGUGCGGGAUGAAGGCCUUCGGGUUGUAAACCGCUGUCAGUGGGGUGGAAAUCGGUUGGGGUUCUCCCCUUCCGUUGACCUAACCGCAGAGGAAGUCCGGGCUAAGUACGU